CUUUAUGGUUGAGUGUGAUUCUUGGUUCCUUCUUGUGGAGUUGCUUUGUAGUUAUUUGGGUUAUUGAUCUGAGCCAUGUUCAACCAUUUUGGUGUCAAUCUUUGUGAUAAUUUAAUAGGAAGUCUUUAUCUUUAAUUCACAUUAUUAAUUCUAUUAUUGUUAUUGAUUUGGAACUCACUUUAUGUUUGUUUGAUCAAUUGAAGGUUAUAUUUACUUCACAAACUAGUAUCAAAGCGUCCGGUGGGUCGAUUGCUUGCUGUUUUUCAAUAUUUGGUAGUUGAAACCCGAAAUUGAUGUGUUCUAUUCAUUUGGGCCGUUGGUCUACUGAUUUUGCAAUAAGGACCUGAAUCUUAAUUAGAUUCGUAUCUCUCAUUGGUACAUACUACAAAUAGGUCGCUUUGGUAAAUUGGUUCAAACUCUUUAAAUUACUACAAUAGCAAGUAAUCAUGUGUGGUGAUUAAUAGAAUUGCAGCCUUGCCUGAUGCUAGUAUUUUUAGGACUAUUUACCUAAAUUGUAAUAUUAUCGUGUUUGUAGCUAUAUUGAUUGUUGUUUGAUUUCCAUAUUAUUGUUUAGCUCUUUGUGAUUAGAACUAUUACCUUUGACCUUACUCAGUUGAAAGCUCUCUUGAGACUAAGGUUCGAAUCUCACGACAAUCCUAGGAACUUAAAUCGGUGUAUAACUUGACCUAUAAGUCAUUCUUUGUGUGGUUGUCUUUUUGAACGUUGCUUACGUGCUACGUGUCUUAUUUGUUGAGAUGUUUUCACAUAGGGAUAACAAGGAGUCGAGCCGGCUCAUCAGUAGAAACUUGAAGCUCGAGCUCGGGUCGAGUAAAAAUGGUUUGAGCUUAUUUUGGCCCAAGUCGAGCUCAACAUUUGCUCGAUUGAAAAAUCUAGGCUUAACCAGAGGUUUCAGAUCUGGCCUUAGCAAGCGGAGCAGAGCCGAGCCUUCUCGUUUUUUUUUUUUUAAUUCAUGAAAAAUCUAACAUUUUUUCAAAGAAUUUAAAUUUUGUGCAAUUUAUACAAAUUAUAAAUUAACUAAAAAUUACAAUGUCCUCUUUUAUUUUAUUUUAUUAUUUUUUUUUGGGCUAAGAACCGACUACAAUUAAUGUAAGCAAAAUUAAAAUUGUACAAGAAUAAAAUACUUCGUAUACAAUUUUUCUUCAAACAAAUAAAUUUAAAAAUUAUGUAUUUUUUGAAAUUAAUCAAUUUAAAAAUAUAAAAUAUCCUAUUAUUAAAUCUAUUGCAACUGUUCAACCAUUAUACUAUCAACUUUUUGAUCUUUUAGUGCCAAGUACUUCUUCUUCUUCUUCGGUAUCCUCAAAAUCAAUUGGAACAUUUUGAAAUACAUCAUAGUCGGAUGAAGUACUCGAAUGACCCUUACACUAAUUAAUUUCAUUACUAAUAAAAUCCAUUAGUGGCUAUUAUAACAAAAGAUACUGAAUAUUAGAGUAAAAGAAACUAAAUAUUAGAACAAAGAUAUUGGAGAUUAAAGUUGAAACUAGAAUAUUGGAAGUUAAAAAUGAUUGAAGUAAACUGAUAUGAAACUCAAAAUUUUACCUCAUAUUUAUAGCCAAAAAAAAACGUGUUUCAAUCAAAUUUGAAUUUACAUAUGAAAUAUAGAACCAUAAAGCAGCUACAUAGUGUAACUGCAGACUAUACUGCUGCCUUAAUAGACGACUAUGUAUAGCUGCCUGUAUAAGACAGCUUUUACCAUGUGAUUUUUUUAAGCUUAGUUUGUUAUGAGCCGAAAAUGGCCCGCAUGGCUCGUCGAGCUACAUAAACUGGCCUGGGCUCGAGUUGGUGCCCCAAAAUGGGGCUUAGCAAGAUCCACGAGCUUGGGCCAGCUCGACUUUUCUCGGGCCGAGCCAUGUGCCACUUGAGCUGACAAGCCAAAUUGACACUCUAUCUGUGCAUCAUUUUGACUUGAGUGUCUUUAAUAGUAAAUGUAAUUUUUCUACUUGGCAACAAAAGAUAAAGGAGAUUUUAGAUGGUAAUCUUGUCAUUUUCAAUAAAUUGGUUCAAGAUAUCACAAAUUGUGGUAAAUAGGUUUCUAAUAAAUAGAAAGCUAUUAUUCCUUUGAAUGUUAUUCCUGAUAAUUAUAAGGAUGUCAAGAAUGCAAUCGAAUAUGGGAGGGAGAUUCAUAAAUCCAAUAUAGUUAUUGAUUCCUUAAAGGCUAGGGAGAGGGAAAUCAAAGUUGAAAGAAAUGAGAGAAAAGUGGGAGAGAUUCUCCAAAUGAGAGGUAGAACUCGGUUUAAGGUUGGAGAGGGGCAAAACAGUCUUGACAGGAAAAAGUGGAGACGUAGAUCUAAGUCACAGAGAAGGACUAAGGAAAGGAAAUGUUACGAUUGUGGAAAACUAGGACAUUUCAUAAAUGACAGCCAAAAAAUGAAAAACAAGUUGAGAGAUCAGAGAGGUGAUGAACCCAACGAGGCAAAGAUUGUUGUUAAGAGAGAAGAACUUGGUAAGGCUUACAUGCACUUAAUUAUAGAACCAGUCAAAAAAGCCUAUUUAUAAACUCUUAUAUGUAAGAGUGGAUUCUUGACUCAAAUACUUCUUCAUGUUAUAUCAAGAAUUAAAUUAAAAACUUAUUGGACCCACACCCAAUAUUUAAUGAUUUAAUCUAAAUCCUCGGUCCAAAAAACUUUAAAGGUCCAACAGUAGCAAUCUAAACAACAAUAGGUCUCUGCCACUGUACUAAGGUUGGCAACGGUUCGAUUAUGGGUCGGUUCGGUUAAUAACUACAAAAAUAAAUUAUUUUUUAUAGGUUCAUCCGUCAAAAUGAUAUAAAACAAUUUAUGAAAAAAGUCAAUGAAAACAAAAACACAAUAUUCCAAACGAAAAUGCAAACAUUAUCCCAAUUUUCAAUUGCAAAAUACAAAUUUAACAAACAAUAUUAUAAACAUAAGAAUACUAAACUUUUCCUUCAUUCUUAAUUGUUGUUGACAUGACCCGUCCCAAAUCACCCUAGUGGAUUCGAAACGUGACGUGCGCCGAUGACAGAUGCUGACUAGAUGUCAAAUCUAUCACCAAGGCUGACUAUAAGUUAUUUCAAAAAAUGCAACAAAAUCAAAUUCUUAUGUAAAAUAUAAUGCGAUGGGCUCAAAAUAUUUACUUCGUUCUUCAUCAAUAUGAAUUAUAACACUCAACAUGUCGUGUGGCUCUUUAGGCUCUUCCAGCUAAAAAGAAUCAGUUUCCACCUGUAGGAAAAUUACGAGAAAAUAUAUGAGUUGACAACUCAGUGAGUGGAGAAGUUCGAAAAUAAUUAUACUUUUUCAUUUUUAUCGAAAAUCGAGUUCAUAUCAUUGAUAACUCGCAAGAUAACAUCAUAUAAUUAUAGUCAAAAAGUGAAAUAUUCACAUAAGGUCAUAAAAUAUCAUCUUAAAAUCAUGAUAUAGAUAUCAGUUGAUAACCAUGCUAUAAUCUCAUCACAUCAAAUGUACUGAAAAAUCUACCGAAAAUGUACCUUCUAACUGAAAUAUAUAAUCCGCCCCUCGAGCUAAGAACUUUCGCCACGGGCCUUUGGGCCCUCCAUGAACGAAAGUCGGUCUCAAAGACCUCCCAUAAUCAAGUCUAGAACACGGCCAAGGCCCUUCAGUGAACUAUACAUACACGGUCGAGACCCUUUCCUCCCCGGUCCAAGACCCCUCAGUGUAGUAUAGAACACAGCCAAGGCCCCUCAGUGAACUAGAAAAAAUAUAUAAUCACGAGUACUUUUUUGGUCGAUCUCAAAAUCAUAUUUCAUAUUCCAAUUCACAAUAUAACGUAUACAAUCUUUGAAAUCCCACAUGUAUCAUAAUAAAAGAUAUUUCCAUAAUAACUAUGUAAUUCGAACAUGUAAUUGCACAUACUUUAACAAUAAACUUAAUUUAUAAAUACUUUAAAAAUAUUUAUAUUUUUCCACUCACACUACAAUGUUCGUAAAAUCAACCCGAUUGGUAAGCUGUUCUACUGUCAGUAUCGUAGUCUGAAAUACGAUAUAAUUUUUAAAUAAACAAUUAAUUAUUUUAAAUAAUUUCAAUAAUUAAAUAGGCGAUAUCCAAACUUAAUCAUUUCACGUUUAGGCGAUUUCUAAAAUCUUUUUAAUCACUAAACUAAUUUUUCUUUUAUUUUACUCAAUUUCAUAAUUUAUUAUACUUAACCCCUUCAAUAAAAUUGAAUUUAAUCUAACAAUCUAACAACUAUAUAAUCAAAUAUAACUUGACAAUAAAUAACUUUUUACUUACAUUUCAAAAUUGAGGAAUUCAAAUAUAAUAAUGUAGACCACUUAUUUUCUAACAACAUAGGUGAACUUUCCUUUUUUUUCUUCCUCUUCUCUUUUCUUUCUUCUUUUUCCUUUCUUUCCCCUCUCUUUUUCUCUUUCUCAUUUCUUCUCUGUUUGUAUAAUUGUUGUGUGUAAAUGGAUUGUAUAUAAACGGAUUGAUAUGAAAAUGAAAUGGAUUUAAAUUAUUAUAAUCAACCACCGCCUGACUUUGUCCACUUUUGUUUUGGUUUCAUUUUUCUUUUUUUAAGCUUGAUAUAUUUGACUUCAAUUUUAGAUUUUGACUUUUCUUUCUUUUUCUUUUUUUUUUAUUUAAAUAAUUGAGGCAUUACAGUUGUGCAUCGAAGUUACUUGAUUUAUUCUUCCUCACAAGUCUUACUAGCAUAAAUCAACACUUAAAGUUGAUUUCUAUAUAAUAAAUAAAAAAUGUAAUUAGAGAAUAAAAUGAUAGUACCUAUUUCAAAAUGGUCUUAAGUAAGAUUUAAAUAAAAAAAGUACCUCUUCGUUAGCUUCUUUCUCUCCAAACGUUGCACAAUCUCUAAAGUAUGAUGAAUGAGUAUAAUUUUCUAUACACAAUAGAAAAAAAUUAACAAUAAAAGGAAUUGUAUAAAUAACAAAUAUAAAAUAAUAAAUCCUAUCAUGAAUAUCAUUCCAAAACCAAUCCCUAACACACAUGAAAGCUUCUAGAGUCUUUAGGUGAAGCUUAUUUUUAUAUGGACUCACAAAUCUACCACUUGUACUAAAUGUCGACUCAGAUACCACUGUAGAUACUGGAAUGACUAAUAAAUCUCUUAAAACCUUCUGUAAAGUUGGAUAUUUUAUUGAAUUUGAUUUCCACCAUGUCAAUAAAUCAAAACCAUCCAUCCUUGGCAGUAUUGGCUCGUCUAGAAAAUCAUCGAACUCUAUUUUUACAUGAUUAACAGUAAUAGAAUGGCUAACAAAUGUAAAAAAAUUCAGAGGCGACGACGACUUGGACCGUGGAGGCAGUGGAGCCGUGCGUGAGUUUGUGGUUUGUGGAGAGUAGAGUUUGCAUUUAUAUACUGUCAUACUAAUGCCAUUUGGGCUAAUGGUAAGUGGGUUGGUCGGCUGAGUCAGGUAGAUAUAAUGGGGGGAUCUUGUUUUGGGCUAAAUAGAAAAAUAGUGUAAAACUCAAUAAUCAAUUCAAUUGUGUUUUUUUUUUAACUUUUUUUUUUUAAGUGGGUAAUCGGUUCAGUUUCGGUUCGACGACGUAAAUACGAUACCCGCACCGCCACGAACCAGUUCAUUAAAAUCAAAAUCAUAUCUGCCCCAUUACACCAUCGGUUCAAUUCCCCCCCCCCAAUUCGAUUCGGUUAACCGCGAUUUUCGAUUUUGACGAUUCAAAUUGUCAUCUUUACACUGUACCUGUAAAAAUUAAUUAAUUCUAAACCCAACUUAUCCAGAUUUCACCCAGUCUAUACAUAAAUAGGCCCCAAAAAAGAAAAGUCAGAGAAUUUACAGCGCCAAACGUAACAAGUUGUUGCGCGUGUAGCAAAUUGCUGCUGUCGGCAUUGAAAAAUUAAUUAUUAUUUUUUUGCUUUAAUUCUUGAAUGUUUCCUUGUCGUUUAUUCUUCAUUUUCAAUCAAUUUACAAGAUCAAACAACUACGAGAAUUUAAAAAUUACAUAGAUCUUAUAUCCCGGAGGUUCACAAUUGUAAAUCUAACUUAAAAGAAAGUUAAAUCAAGAUAAUGGAGUAAUAAUCCACUUAUCUUGUUGCAGACUCGAAAUAACGAAUUACAUCAAAAACUGACCACAAAUAAUUAGAUCACAAUCUAAAAUAAACCAAUUAUUUAAUCAACAUAUAAUAAAUUAUUCCUAGACAUCACUUGCUAGAAUAUGUAAUCAAGAUUCAGAAAUAACAAGCACGUGAACAAUUUAGAUUGCUCUGAUACCGGUUGUUAGAAUACGAAAAUAAAAUUACCUAGAAUAUAUAUAAAGGAUUUAAGUUUUUAUCUAAAUUUGAUAGUCAAUUCUCGAAUUAAUUCUUAAUUACGAAUUCUAGCUUUUUGGAUCACGAGUUUCCAGCUUUUUAAUUUCAAGAACUUGAUACUUCCAAUCUCUAAGCCUUUCAUGAUAUUCUUCAAAGUCAAGACCACAUCAAUAAGUGGACACCUUCUUAUAACUAAAUCAAGAAUUUAAUUAUUGGACUAAACAAUUGAAUAAGAUACGAAAAUAAUUAUUUUCUCUCACUCUUUUUUCUCUAUAAAUUUGAACAUUAUGAUAUUUAUGUAUUAUGAUUGUUCAUUUCUGUAGGAUGUUCAAAUUUAAUCUCUAAUCUCUAUUUACAGAGAUAUAAUAGUUUCAAUCCUUGUACAAUACUUGUUGCACAUUCAAAUAUGAGUGUUAAUUCAAAUUCAAGUAGGAGUUUUAAUUAAAGGCCACAUCCAAUUAGUUUAUAUUUAAUUAUAUUUGCAGUACUAGAACUUCAAUUACAAUUAUAAUUAAGUUUACAGCUUCACAGCAAUUACAAUAAGUACAAAACUUUUAUUGUAAUAACAAUUAAGUUCAAAACUAUUAUAAUUAUGUUAAUUAAGUUCCAAUACUUUAUAGAGCUACCACAAGGACCUAAUCAAACAUACAUUAUCCAAGCUCCAAUAAUUAGAUCUUGUUUAGACCAUUACCCGCCCAAUCAAAUUAUUAGUCUUUGCUUUUCCAUUAAAGGCAAAAGACUAAACUCUUGGAAUAUAUAAGAUUACAGAAAUCAAUAAAUUUGUAAUACUUUCCUUCGCCUUACUGUUUUACCUCUCUAAUUAUUUUUAAUAACUUAUAUAUAUACCGCUUUUUUCAAUGGUUUUAUGAACUAAUCACAUAUGUCGAAAUCUAAUCCUUGCAAAAUACUGAGUUCAGAUUUUAACCGUUCAAGAAAAAAUACUUAAAUAGUCAUUCUACACAUUUUCCAAGAUGGCGGUUCCUGAUACAAAUAUAUAUUCUCUGCUUGGCUCAUUCUUAAGCUUCCAACUCAUCGAGAUAUUUGACCAAUCAAAUUGAUCUCACUCAUUGAUGAAUAAAAAAAUCAUUAAAAUUAUGAAAAGAUAUACAUCUCUCUGUCAAGGAAUUUAAAUGAAAUACGUAGUGAGCAAGUAAAAUUUAAUUCUUCGCAUGGUCGCACUAUAAAAUUAAGCUCGACACGUACUAUGUUCAACAUAUUCCAAGUGUACUAAUGUCACCUUUGACUAUUUAUGGGAUAAAGACAAAUCACAAACCUGAUAGUGCAUUGGUCAACACUACAACAUUCUAGUAUAAGGUACCAGUAUCCAACUAUGUUACAUUGUACUUCUCAAUACAAGUACUCAACUUAUAUUAUUACAAGUGAUCAUAGGCACUUUAAUUCGCAUGCAUAAUAAUAAAUAAAUAAAACCAUAAUUUAUUUAUUAUGAAUUACUAUUAUAUCACAACAAAAUAUACUACGUGGCCACACAACCUAACAGCAUGUUUGCAAGAUGAUUUCUUAUAUUGUUUGUAAGCCUUUGACUAAAUCAAUGAUCUUAUAUAGUUUGUAAGUCUUUGGCUAAGUCGAUGAACAUCUUAUUUAGACUAAAAAGUCUCCUUCGAAAGUGUUUUAAGGGGUAAUGUUUUCAGAAUAAAGCUAGGCGCUAGUUAGGUAGUGUUUUCAGGGACAAUGUUUUCAGAAUAAAGCUGGGCGCCAACUGUUGAAGAAGCAAAACCCUUGUGUUUCACUACUCUGCAUUAAUGUUGUACGUUUUGGCAGGGGAAAUGAGAAGGGACUUGCACUGAACCUGGAAUCAACGAGGGCGACCAAUAGCAUAUGACUUUAUGCAAGGCUAGCUUCGCAAAGGGUCUCGACGCGAUGCAUCUAAAUAGAUAUUACAAAAUAUGUAUAGUCUUUAUUUUAUAACCCAUAAUUAAUACUAUUGCAAGUUUUGAAUCUUUCUAAUUUACGUAUGGUACCCUAGAUGUCCCAACCAAACUAGUUUAAAAAUAUGCCUAGUUGUCGCCUUAUUAUCACAACUUCUAUUGUUUAUUGUUGGUGUCAUUCCAAGUGACUAAGAAUGAUUCGUUAAAGUAACAGGCUUCCCUCGUGCCGAAAGGGAAGGGAAUACUUACAUUCCCACAAUGACCCAUACAAUACGGCUUUGCUAUUUGGAAAUUUGCUUGAGUAGAAAUCAAAAUAAGCAAAAUUGACACGAGUGAUUUGGCUUGCAGCAAAUGCAAUCCCAUUGUGUUGGCCUACAUUUGACACAAGGAAAAUCAUCUCUGACAUUAAAACAAGUCACAUGCACCCAGAAGCAAAGCUUUGAAUUUAGGAAUUGUACCAUUUUCAUUUUUGACCUUGUAAUCAUUGUGUACGGUUAAAGUGUGUACGGCAGUUCUGUAAACAAUGGGCUGGCAAAUUUGGCAUGAAGUCUCAACGGUCUAUUUGAAAUCUGUAUAUAUCUGUUGACACUUUUUAUUGCAAUCGAAUGUGUUGUCGCCUAACACCGGAAGCACAUGUUUGCUCAUUGCUGUAAAAUUUGAUAUACUUCAAAUUUCUUAAAAAAGGUUGAAUCCCAAUUUUGAGGACUUUCACCAUCCUGCUCCUAGAGUUUUUUGAGGGAGAUAAAUUGCGGGAUGUGUCCCAACAGGCCAGGAAACAAGAGUUAUCUGUACACUAUGCCUACAAGGAGUCCAAUUUCAUGUCUCAAGAAUCGAACUCCCACACUGCGGUUGCCAACAAGAUGUGAGAUAACCUCACUCUUGUCCUUUACACCACUGGACUAUGCCCGAGGGGCGAUAUACUUCAAAUUUCUUUGAUUGAUUCAUUGUGUACUACAAGAUUGUUAAUUUGACAAAGCCUCUUGUAAAAGUUCAAGCAAUUUUGAUAAAAGUUAUGUAACGAGUAGUAGCAAAAUUAAUAAAGUUGCAGAGUCCAUGAAAUGUAAAAUUAAAAUUUAAGUUUGACUAGUUCAAAAUUUAAUUAAAAAAAUUAGAAAAUUCUUGUCAAACAAGCACCGAAUUUGGGCGAUCAGUUUGUAUAUGACUUUGUCUAUGGUAUUCACAAUGGAAAAGAAAUGGAACGUAUAGGCCAUAACUAAUGUUAUUGCAAGACUUUUUCUAUGAUAAUUUCAUUUUUAAUUUUUCUUGUUACCAUUUAAUUGGGAUGUAUAGAGAAUUACAUCAUUUUGUCAUGGGUCACCAUUGAUGCCUUCUCCCAUGUGUUCAGUCUACUUUAUAAAUUACGAGAAUCACAUUUGUUAGACUUUUCGGACCUACAUGAUUAUAUUACACGGCUUGGAAUAAUUGUUUCAGAGAAAUAAUGAACCCCACUUUCUUCAACAAGAAGACCAUAACUGCAAUUAUUGAAGUCGUAUGGUUUUCCAUUAUCUUUUGAAACAUAGUUUUCACAACAUAAUUUCGAUUUUCUUAUUUUAAUUUAGAUAAGAGCAUAACUUUUAACUUGAACGAAGCCUUAUUCUUUUUCAAUUUUUUUUUCCACAUUAUGUAUUCUAUCCAAAUUAUAAAAACUUUGAUUUCAAUCGGGUUCACUCCAUCUAAUUUAAAUAUUUAAUCUUUGUCACAGAAAUCAAUGACGUAGUGUUAAUAAUUUAUGCCCAUUAUUUAUCUCAAUGAAGUGAUACUUAUAUCUUGUUAUCAACUAAUGGUUACGUAUAAUAACUGUCAUUUAUUGACUAUCCCAUCAACGAUUCGCAUUAGUGAAAUUGAAUAAAGUUGUCUUACUUGAAUCAAAUGAAAGUAUAGUUACAGAAGUAUAAUCAAAAUAAGUUGAAAGCACAUUUUGGUAUACUUAUCCGAUUCAACAAAAUUUAAGUAUAGUUAUCUAAUUGACACUAGAGUGAUGGAUGUGAUAACAUUUUGGUAAGUUUAGUGACAAUUCGAAAAACCUUAAAUUUCAAACUAGAAUAUUAACUUCAUUUUCCCGUGUUCACAUAGACAUAUAUAGAAUUUUUAUUUGUAUCUUUGUUAGGUAUUUUGAUACCAAAUAAAUUUGGGGGCGAUGAUGAAUUUGUCAGAUCGGAUAAAACCAAAUGGUUCGUUGGGAACCUAUUACUGAGACUAUUUAAAAUAGUCGAUCCAAUAACACACAAUUGGUAACCCACAAAAGAAGUUGGACUGAGUAUUGCAUUUAGGGCCCAACCAUAUACUUGACCUGAAGUGUAUUGCAUGUAUUUGUGCCUUUUGAGGUAUUAUAAUACUUACAUACGGUUUUAACACUUAAAACACUUUAGCCCCCAUUUGGUGAUUGCUUCUUUUCUGCAACUUUGCUGCCCCUUCUGUGCGUUCCCUUUUUUGAUACCUUCUGUGCCUCACCUUAUCGACAAAUUGGCUACUUGGUUCUUUCUCUUUCUUCUUUGGUUUUUUCCCUGUUUUGCGGCUGCAUGCGGCUGUUUCUGCGCGAUUCGUUGGGCGGUUUCCUUUGUGGUUGAGCGUGAUUCUUGGUUCCUUCUUGUGGAGUUGCUUUGUAGUUAUUGGGUUAUUGAUCUGAGCCAUGUUCAACCAUUUUGGUGUCAAUCUUUGGGAUAAUUUGGAACUCACUUUAUGUUUGUUUGAUCAAUUGAAGGUUAUAUUUACUUCACAAACUGGUAUCAAAGCCUCCAGUGGGUAGAUUGCUUGCUGUUUUUCAAUAUUUGAUAGUUGAAAAUCGAAAUUGCAGUGUUCCGUUCAAUUGGGGCGUUGGUCUACUGAUUUUGCAAUAAGGACCUGAAUCUUAAUUAGAUUGGCAUCUCUCAUUGGUACGGACUACAAAUAGGUCGCUUUGGUAAAUUGGUUGAAACUCUUUAAAUUACUACAAUAGCAAGUAAUCGUGUGUGGUGAUCAAUGGAAUUGCAGCCUUGCCUGA
rnacentral:lncRNA from 1 species